ACUAGUAUCGCAUCCUUAAUGGCUUUGUCUUGGCUGCGGAAAAGAAAAAGUUACUGGGCUGUUUGGAUGCGUCUUUGUCGCUCUUAAGCAGCAGGUUGCCUUGCACAAGCUCCGUAGAUUUACAUUAGAAAAAAGACCUUUGUUUUGUUGUUCACCUGGUCUUCCUUUUCUCAUCGGUGAGCACCGUGCCUUUCCUCCACGCAGAUUUCUUCUUUGGUGGUGCUAGAGAGAGCUGAUGAGACAGGAAGAAAGUGGCAGGAAUUGCUGGGUCUGACCUUCACUAAUGCUAAGCUUGGAGCUGCACUGAAGCUAUUUUAAACAAGGUCACUUUGGAUAGGAGACUAGAAAAGCAAAUCUGUCUUUUUUGUCACUGCAUUUUUCCCACUGCAUUUCUAAUGUCACCAAUGGUUGAAGUGGAUACGCAUCAAAUGCAAACAGAAUGGACAGGAGAGAAUCAAAUCACCACUUGAAUGAAGUCAGUCUGUGAGCAGUGGAACUCAGAAGAGGUGCUUUCUGUUGCCUUAGUGUGUCCUUUGUACCCUUCCCUCUAAGAGCACGUAACCUUUCCCCAUUUAUUCUACAGCAUGCCAUGAGAUAAAGCUGGGCAUGCAUUUUUUCUAGCUCAGCUCCAUGCAUGCCCAGUACGAGCUCGCCAAUUGCUUGCUGCCAAGUGUAACAGCUGAGCUCUGCCUGCUUCUCCCUCAGAGCAAUCACUAAUUUGGGUUGGCCAACAGCUCAGAAAGUUUUCUGAGAGGGAGGGAGUGGGAAGAGGUAAACAGAUGGAAUGAGGCAGAUAGCACAAUCGUUUAAGGUUCAUUACUUACAGAACUAAGCUGCAAAUGGCUGCCAGUGAUAACUAUGAAUGAAAGUUUAUCCAGAAUACAGCAAGAAGGUGUCAAAUGUGCCUUGGCACUAGCUGUGCGUUCAAACUGUGCGACAGUAGCCUCUCCCUCCCAUCUAAGUGCUUUAAAUACAGUUCUAGUAACCUUAAGAAUUUGUUUAGCAGUAGUUGUAAUAGCCACCUGAGCUGGGCUCACCAUCCAAAGUCUAUUAGUUCCUUCCAAGAGCUGGAGAUUGAUGUGUGUAACUGAUGAGCGCAGCGUGCAAACCUGUACUGCCUGGAAUGGCUCCUUGUGUGUUUGGUUCAAAUACUGGACAGCCCUUUUUCUCUCCUUUCCCCUGCUAGUUCCUGUGUAGUAAUUCAGAGAAUGAGUGUUAGUUCCCUUCCUACAUCUUUCCAAAUGCGAGCUUCAUAAGCCUUCCCUGUAAUUGCUUUCUUGCAGACUUCUUCAGACUGUUCACCUUACCUGGGAGAUUGCACAAGAUAUAAGUAAGAGAUGACAUACUCUGGUAGCCAGUUUCAAAACGUUUUGCAACUGGCAGCUUUAUCUUUAAAAGUAGAUUGAAUUUUUCAGUAGAAAUGACAGAGAUGUGUCUAACUUUGUAUGUUGUGGAUAGGUAGGAGAUACUCACGUUUCAGUUUAUGGCCAAUUGAGUAGAUGGAUGCUGUAUGUAGGUUCUGGUAUGGAUUAGGUGCCCAGAUAAGAAAUGGUGCCUAAUUACCAGGGGAGGCCUUAGCCCAGAGUUUCAUUUUAUUUACAUUUUAUUGUGAUCUAUGUUGAAAUUUAACUUGGGAUAUAUUGUGCAAUAUGAUAUAAGGUGCUGAGUAAACAAGUAGAGAAAAUUCAUUCUGAAAGAUGACAACUUUUUAAAAUCUAAGCCUAAAGUUUAGCUAAUAAAUAAUAUUUUCCAGGGCAGCAGGGCACCUGUCAGUCACUGUAAGCCAUUUUGGACUUCAAUUGCUGCUCUUAGAGCAAAGUAUGCCAACAGGUAUUUCAGGUUAGUUUCAAAGCAAUAAUUACUAUGUUUGAAAAUGUUUGCCAAUGUUUUUUGCUUUUAUUGGAUAUUAUUUAGAUCCAAUAUAUUGAUCAGAGAUUCAGGAGUUUUGUAAAGGCUCUUGAAGAAGCUUAUUUAAACACUUUGGUUCGAAGAUGUCGAUUCCAAAUGGUGUGGCAGUUUCUGUGUAAAGACAUCCCAAAUGAAAUACUGUGUGUUUGAAAGUGUGAGUCAAAUCCCAAGUGACCUUUAGCUCACAUAAGAAGGUUGCUAUCCAAGUGUCUCUGCUUAAGAGAACUCAGCAUUUAAAUGUCCAUUUAAAGAUUGAUUUGUUUGAAUGAUACCGCUGGUCUUGUCCUAGAGGGAAGUGAAAGGAGUGUUUUUCUUCUAAGUGCUGUCAAACCAGAAAGAAUGAUUGUUCCUAAAUUCUGCGUACGUCAGCAUAAUAGAAGCUUAGUCAUGCAAAUCUUUAUUACUUGGCAAUUCUGGAGCAGAGGAAAAACAGCGUGUUGCUGUAUUUUAUCAGUAUUUGUUGAAAAAAGUGUCUUUCAUUGUGCUUUUUAAGAACAGAUGUCAAGACAAUCUUGAAAACAUAAAUGAAUGCUAAAAGAUAUUUUUCUGAUUUGAAUAGGGGGAAAAAAAAAGCUAGUUGAAUGUGUUGGUCUUCUUUUCCAUAAAAUCACACUAACUGUUCAUAUGUUUCUUUCUGUUUCCCCAGGGAAUGGGGGA